UACAUGGGGCUGUUAAAUGUCACUGGACUU
rnacentral:piRNA from 1 species